UACGGAGGGUGCAAGCGUUGUUCGGAAUUACUGGGCGUAAAGCGCGCGUAGGCGGCUUUGUAAGUUAGAGGUGAAAGCCCGGAGCUCAACUCCGGAACUGCCUUUAAGACUGCAUCGCUAGAAUCAUGGAGAGGUGAGUGGAAUUCCGAGUGUAGAGGUGAAAUGCGCAGAUAUCAGGAAGAACACCCGUGGCUAAGGCGGUUCUCUAGUACGGUACUGACGCUGAGACGCGAAAGCGUGGGGAGCGAACAGG
rnacentral:rRNA from 1 species